rnacentral:rRNA from 1 species
GUGGCAGCCGCCGCGGUAAUGCGUAGGGGGCGAGCGCUGUCCGGAAUUACUGGGCUUAAAGGGUCCGUAGGCGGUUGCUUAAGUCUUUCGUGAAAUCCCAAGGCUUAACCUUGGAAGUGCGAGGGAUACUGGGUGACUAGAGGGCGGGAGAGGAGAGCGGAGCUCCAGGUGUAGCGGUGAAAUGCGUGGAUAUCUGGAGGAACACCAGUGGCGAAGGCGGCUCUCUGGAACGCUUCUGACGCUGAGGGACGAAAGCUUGGGUAGCGAACGGGAUUAGAUACCCCGGUAGUCCAAGCUGUAAACGUUGAGCGCUAGGUGUGGGAGGCAUCGACCCCUUCCGUGCCGCAGGGUAACCAAUAAGCGCUCCGCCUGGGGAGUACGGUCGCAAGGCUGAAACUCAAACCAAUUGACGGGGGCCCGCACAAACGGUGGAGCAUGCGGCUUAAUUCGAUGCUACCCGAAGAACCUUACCGGGGUCUGACAUGCACGUGGUACUGACCCGAAAGGGAAAGGACCUGGUUUUCCAGGAGCGUGCACAGGUGGUGCAUGGCUGUCGUCAGCUCGUGCCGUGAGGUGUUGGGUUAAGUCCCGCAACGAGCGCAACCCUCGUUAGAAGUUGCCAGCGUAUAAAGUCGGGAACUCUUCUGAGACUGCCUGCGUAAGCAGGAGGAAGGUGGGGAUGACGUCAAGUCAGCAUGCUCUAUGGUCCCGGGCUGCACGCAUGCUACAAUGGCCGCUGCAAUAGGCAGCAAACCCGCGAGGGUAAGCGAAUCCCAAAAAGCGGUCUCAGUACGGAUCGGAGUCUGCAACUCGACUCCGUGAAGGCGGAAUCGUUAGUAACCGCCGGUCAGCCAUACGGCGGUGAAUACGUUCCCGGGCCUUGCACACACCGCCCGUC